rnacentral:misc_RNA from 1 species
GAUGUUUUUAUUUACAUCCAGAAGUCGCAAUGACGCAAUACCGUGAAACGUCAGUCUAAAACCCAAAAGAAGAAGAAAAAGAAGUUAAACGUCAGUGUUUUCUGGAUCUAGCGGAACAUUUUGGGAAAUGUAAGAAAUCCACAAAUGGAAACCAGAAGCUAACGAGAGGUGAGUGAACAUCCAAGAGCAGAAGGUCCCUGUUCUACGUCAGCUUGCUUAGCGGUUGUAGGAUCUGUGAAGAAUGGACUGCCAGAUUUCUAUCUUCUUUCCUGCCCUGCUAUCAACCCUAUUUCAAUUGGUAUCUGCCGAAGAGCUCACCCAAGAUCCUCACCAGAUUGACCUUGGGAAUGUUCUGGCCAUUAUUGUGCUCUUGGUCAUUGGGAUAUUAGGGGGUCUGGCAUGUUUAGGGUCCUAUGCCAGGAAUCACUUGAGAAAUUCAUAUUAGCCUUGCAUUUCUCUGCAUUUAACUCAUUGCUAUUGGGUAUGACAUGUACAUCAUGCCUUGUCCACUGUGAUUUUACUGUUUUAAUGUUUACACAAACAUGGCUCCACAAGAGCUUUGUCACCAAAAGGUCAAUUACUAGUCCUCUGUAUCUCACUGAUUUUCUCAUUUCCUCAGUUUUUGGAUUUUUUUUUCUAAUUGCUUAUUACUAUUAUUAUUUUAAUGACCUUAAAAUUAUCAGAAUACCAGUAAUAAUGCUUACAAUUUUGAUAUUAAUAGCAUUAGAAAAAUAAUUUCCUAAGUAUUCAAGGACCGGGGAAAUAAGAAACAUCAUGUAGUUCUAAAUAACUCAUGGGUGACUGAGUAACACAAAACCACAGUGGACGCUUCAAGUACCUGGUGCCAGUGGAUUAAUCCUUUGUUAUGUUGAGUGUGUGAGAAUGGUCUGGCAGGGUCCUGAAUACUGCUUUUGUAGGAUGAUGAUGGAUGGUAGAAAAUUACUUGCUGGAUUUUCAGGCAGUUGGAUAAGCUUUGUGGAUGUUCAUCAUACUUUCUUAUUAUUGCUGUUAAGUAUUUAAAAAAAAUUAACCACUUGGAUUUAAUGUUUUAGAUUAGUUAAUUCUGAAUAUUCCUGGUAUUUUUCUAAAUGAGACAGUUUUUGUUUCAGUAGGAUAUUUGAAAUUAUCUAAGAGUGGAAAUGAGCUUUAAAUUUACUCUCAUUCCCCAGUUUAUCUUAACUAUUUUCUCUGUUGUUUUGCGUAUCUUAUAGCUCUUCCAGUGUUUUCAUCUAUAUUGACCGAAGUCUAGUCUUAGUAGUUAUGGGAGAUGUAUCAUUUUAUGGAAAUUGUUUGUAGUGUUUGUAAGUGUUAUUUUCUGUUAGUAUCAUUAUUUGAAGCAUGAAAGACUAUACAGUGUUUCAUGUCUAUGAAAAGUGUGAUCGUAAUGAUGCAUGUAAACCUGGCUAAGAGUUUUCCAAAGAAUACACAAUUACUAUGUUUUUUGUCUCUUCUAGAUUGAAUUACACAUGUUUUUUUGACAUUGUAUUUAUGAUUCAUGAAGAAAUCUUAUGCAUUAUAUCUAAGAAAACUGCAGUUAGUAUAAGUGAUCCAGUGGAGUGAUCUAUAAUCUAUGGAGUUAUAGAUUUGUGAUAUAUUAUCUUUUUUACAAUUUAUAAUAAAAUUUUCAGUAGCUUA